rnacentral:rRNA from 1 species
UACGUAGGGGCCUAGCGUUGUCCGGAUUUAUUGGGCGUAAAGAGCUCGUAGGCGGUUCGGCAAGUCGGAUGUGAAAUCUCCACGCUUAACGUGGAGGGGCCAUUCGAAACUGCCGUGACUCGAGUCCGGUAGGGGAGUGUGGAAUUCCCGGUGUAGCGGUGAAAUGCGCAGAUAUCGGGAGGAACACCUGUGGCGAAGGCGGCCCCCUGGUUGGAUACUGACGCUGAGACGCGAAAGCGUGGGGAGCAAACAGG